AUUCAGCCGACGACUCCCAAAUAGGACGAAACGCGCAUCCUGGAU
rfam:Schistosoma mansoni strain Puerto Rico chromosome 2, complete genome